rnacentral:rRNA from 1 species
UGAGGGAUAUUGGGCAAUGGGGAAAGCCCAUGACCCAGCGACGCCGCGUGAGGGAAGACGGUCUUCGGAUUGUAAACCUCUGUCUUUGGGGACGAAGAAGGACGGUACCCAAGGAGGAAGCUCCGGCUAACUACGUGCCAGCAGCCGCGGUAAUACGUAGGGAGCGAGCGUUGUCCGGAAUUACUGGGUGUAAAGGGAGCGUAGGCGGGAUUGCAAGUUGGAUGUGAAAACUGCGGGCUCAACCCGAGAGUGCAUUCAAAACUGCGAUUCUUGAGUGAAGUAGAGGCAAGCGGAAUUCCUAGUGUAGCGGUGAAAUGCGUAGAUAUUAGGAGGAACACCAGUGGCGAAGGCGGCUUGCUGGGCUUUUACUGACGCUGAGGCACGAAAAGCGUGGGUAUCGAACAGGAUUAGAUACCC